UCAACAGCAAACAGGCCACUCCAAAACAGGAUUAAUCCCUCCCCAAAAGAAGACUAUAUCAGUGCAAUCUCUGCACUGGCACGGGACAGCAGUCCAUCUGCCCACCUGUGCCUAUACAGGUGUUUCUUUUUGCCAGCUCUCCCUCCGCAGGGCAGCAACCUCCUGCCAGCCCAUGACCUGUACCAUGCCUUCUUUUCUCUUUACUGACCUUCCUCAGCAGAUGCAGCUCUCCUGAAGGCCGCCCGCCUUUGAUCAUGCAGGAAUGCAAAUGCAGUCUAAUCAUUUGAAAAUUUCAGAGAAAUUCCACCUGCAGAACUUCUACCUGUAUCCUCCAAACUGUCAAGACCAUCAAAAGAUAGUCUAAGAAACCAACUGAGUCAAGAGGAGCCUGAAGAGACAAGAAAACUAAAUGGAAUAUGGUUUCUUGGAUUGGUUCCCAGCAAAGAAAAAGGAAUCUAGGAAAUUAGAAACUCAUAAAAACAAGAACAGAGAAAAGCCUGCUCUCACUCAGUGUAACAUGCCACAUCCAGAAGGACAAGCAGCACAGAUCUUCAGAGCCCAUCCCUAAGGCAGCUUCAUUCAUGGUCUCUGGGUGGCUGAUCCUGCUAACUGGCACCACAAGCCAUGAAUCAUGUGACUGUCUGCCCAAUUAUGACCCAUCACAUGCUCCAUGAACAGGACGGGAGUAUUAAAUGCUCACCUCAUUUCAUUUUUAGUGCAUAAAUAUAAAGGUGGCACAGGCAUACUAGACAGGCAUCCUUUUUUUUUUUUUUUUUGGCGGGUCCACAAUUCUCAGGGAGAGGGUUCCACGUGGAUGCACCAACUUAUUACUCAUGUGCAGCCCUGACAACUGUACAAAUGAGGGUCCUG